UGUUCUUGAAAUUUAAAAGAUUUGGCGGUAUUUUAGUCUUUUCAGAGGAACCUGUUCUAUAAUUGAUGAUCCACGAUUAAUUGUACUUGAUUUAAUAGUUUAUAUAUCGUCGUAGUUGAGUAUCUUUAAAGAGUAAAAAUAUUCAAGAAUUUUAAUUUUAAAAUAAAUCAGAUCAAGAUAUAGUUUAUAAUUAAGAAGAAAUGGGUUACAAUAAAUUUAUUUAUAUAGUUAUAUAAUUUAACAUUUAUAUAUAAAUUGGAUUUGAAAGUAAUUUAUUUUAGUUAAAAUAGAUGAUUUAAGCUCUAAAAUAUGCACAUAUCGCCCGUCGCUUCUAUUGAAAUUUAAAAUAGAAUAAGUCGUAACAUAGUAGGCGUACCGGAAGGUGUGCCUAGAUUGCAGAUUAAAGCUUGUUAGUAUCUUAUUUACAUUAAGAAGAAAGAUUGUUUAAUCAAUUUAAUUUGAAUUGAAAAUUUUAUUAAAAUUUUAUUUUAAUAAGUUUUUAAAAAAAAUAUUUUAAUAUUUAUUUAUAAUUAAAGAUAAAAUUUUUAUAGUUAUAGUUUAUAGUAUAGUGUUAGAAAGUUGAAAUAAUAUGAAAAUUUAAGUAUUUUAAAGAAAAAUUAAUUUUUUGUACCUUGUGUAUCAGGGUUUAUUAAAUUAUAAUUAUUUAGAUUAAUUUUCUCGAAUUUAGAAGAGUUAAGAAAUUAUAAAUUUUAUUGUAAAAUAAAUAUUUAAAAUAAUUUUUUAGUAAUGAAAUGUUAUUCGUUUUUAAAUUUAUCUAGUUUUUUAAGAAAUAAAUUUAAUUUAGUAAGUUAUUAUAAAUAAAAUAAUUUAAUAUUUUAUUUAAUAUAAGUUAUAAAUAUUUUUAGGGAUAAGCUUAAAAAUAAAAAUUUAAAAAUUAAUAAUUAUUUAUAUAAAUAGUUAGGAUUAGAAAUUUCUUUAAUUUAUUAGUAUGUUAUAAUAAAUUUUUAUAUAAAUUAUAUUUUUAUAUAAUUUUAAAUUUUUUAUUAAAAUUAUUUAUUUAAUAUUAAAAUUUAUGUAAUAAUGAUAAAAUUAGUAUAUAAAAAAUUAUGUGAUAAUAAUUUAGUUAAUUUAGGUUGAAUUAAGGAAUUCGGCAAAAUAUUUUUCCGCCUGUUUAUUAAAAACAUGUCUUUUUGAUAAUAAUUUAAAGUCUAGCCUGCCCUAUGAAUAAUUAAAUGGCCGCGGUAUUUUGACUGUGCAAAGGUAGCAUAAUAAUUAGUUUUUUGAUUGAGAACUGGUAUGAAUGGUUGGACGAGAAAAGUUCUGUCUCGGUUUAAUUUUAGUUAGAAUUUUAUUUUUAAGUUAAAAAUCUUAAAUAUUUUAAAAAGACGAGAAGACCCUAUAGAGUUUUAUAUUAAUAAAUAUUUUAUUAUUAAAGGUAAAUAAGGAUUAUUGUAUAUUGGUUAAUAUUUGAUUGGGGUGAUUUAAAAAUUUAAUAAACUUUUUAUAUAUUUAUACAUA
rnacentral:rRNA from 1 species